UACGUAGGGUGCAAGCGUUGUCCGGAAUUAUUGGGCGUAAAGAGCUCGUAGGCGGUUUGUUGCGUCGGCUGUGAAAUCCCGAGGCUCAACCUCGGGUCUGCAGUCGAUACGAGCAAACUAGAGUGUUGCAGGGGAGACUGGAAUUCCUGGUGUAGCGGUGAAAUGCGCAGAUAUCAGGAGGAACACCGGUGGCGAAGGCGGGUCUCUGGGCAACAACAUGACGCUGGAGGAGCGAAAGCGUCGGGGAGCGAACAGG
rnacentral:rRNA from 1 species